GACAGAGGGUGCAAACGUUGUUCGGAAUUACUGGGCGUAAAGCGAGUGUAGGCGGUCUGCUAAGUCGGAUGUGAAAGCCCCGGGCUCAACCCGGGAAGUGCACUCGAAACUGGCAGGCUAGAGUAUCGGAGAGGUUGGUGGAAUUCUCGGUGUAGAGGUGAAAUUCGUAGAUAUCGAGAGGAACACCGGCGGCGAAGGCGGCCAACUGGACGAAUACUGACGCUGAGACUCGAAAGCGCGGGGAGCAAACAGG
rnacentral:rRNA from 1 species